rnacentral:snoRNA from 1 species
UGCCCCCUGGCAAGGGGCAAAGAGACACUUCAUUGGUAGUGUUGCUGUUACACCAGUCAGGGGCAGAGCAGAUGGACAGUCCUUUGUUCAUUCUAGCUUGUUGCCUGGGGUGGUAGCUAGAGCUAUUUCAUGCGUGAGGCACCCUA